rnacentral:rRNA from 1 species
CGCGCCUAACACAUGCAAGUCGAGCGAGAAAGGGAGCAAUCCCCGGUAAAGCGGCGCACGGGUGAGUAACACGUAGGUAAUCUGCCUCUGAGUGGGGGAUAACCUUCCGAAAGGAGGGCUAAUACCGCAUGAGACCACGCCUUCGAGAGGAGGAGGGGUCAAAGCCGGCCACUAUACAUAAGCUGGCGCUUGGAGAUGAGCCUGCGGCCCAUCAGCUAGUUGGUAGGGUAAUGGCCUACCAAGGCGUAGACGGGUAGCUGGUCUGAGAGGAUGAUCAGCCACACUGGAACUGAGACACGGUCCAGACUCCUACGGGAGGCAGCAGUGGGGAAUCUUGCGCAAUGGGCGAAAGCCUGACGCAGCGACGCCGCGUGAGUGAUGAAGGCCUUCGGGUUGUAAAAGCUCUGUGGAGGGGGAAGAAUAAGGGUGACCCAACACGUCGCCCGAUGACGGUACCCCUUUAGCAAGCACCGGCUAACUCUGUGCCAGCAGCCGCGGUAAGACAGAGGGUGC